AUUGAACGCUGGCGGCAUGCCUUACACAUGCAAGUCGAACGGUAACAGGUCUUCGGAUGCUGACGAGUGGCGAACGGGUGAGUAAUACAUCGGAACGUGCCUAGUAGUGGGGGAUAACUACUCGAAAGAGUGGCUAAUACCGCAUGAGAUCUACGGAUGAAAGCAGGGGAUCGCAAGACCUUGUGCUACUAGAGCGGCCGAUGGCAGAUUAGGUAGUUGGUGGGAUAAAAGCUUACCAAGCCGACGAUCUGUAGCUGGUCUGAGAGGACGAUCAGCCCCACUGGGAAUGAGAAACGGCCCAGACUCCUACGGGGGGCAGCAGUGGGGAAUUUUGGACAAUGGGCGCAAGCCUGAUCCAGCAAUGCCGCGUGCAGGAUGAAGGCCUUCGGGUUGUAAACUGCUUUUGUACGGAACGAAAAGCCCCGGGUUAAUACCCUGGGGUCAUGACGGUACCGUAAGAAUAAGCACCGGCUAACUACGUGCCAGCAGCCGCCGUAA
rnacentral:rRNA from 1 species